GAUGAACGCUAGCGGCAGGCUUAAUACAUGCAAGUCAAGGGGGUAGCAAUACAACCGGCGCACGGGUGAGUAACACGUACACAACAUACCAUAUACUGAGGUAUAGCUUCGGGAAACUGAAGGUAAUCCCUCAUAGUAUUGUAAAAGGGCAUCUUUUUACAAUUAAAGUUUCGACGGUAUAUGAUUGGUGUGCGUUUGAUUAGCUAGUUGGUAGGGUAACGGCCUACCAAGGCAACGAUCAAUAGCUGGCGUGAGAGCGCGACCAGCCACACUGGAACUGAGACACGGUCCAGACUCCUACGGGAGGCAGCAGUAGGGAAUAUUGGACAAUGGGCGAAAGCCUGAUCCAGCCAUGCCGCGUGAUAGAUGAAGGCCCUCUGGGUUGUAAAUAUCUUUUAUCUGGGAAGAAACACUUCUAUUCUUAGAAGCUUGACGGUACCAGAGGAAUAAGCACCGGCUAACUCCGUG
rnacentral:rRNA from 1 species